UACGUAGGGCGCAAGGCGUUAUCCGGAAUUAUUGGGCGUAAAGAGCUCGUAGGCGGUUUGUCGCGUCUGCCGUGAAAGUCCGGGGCUCAACCCCGGGUCUGCCGUGCCGACUGUCAAACUCGAGGGCUGUAGAGGCAGACGGAAUUCCGGGUGUAGCGGUGGAAUGCGUAGAGAUCCGGAGGAAGACCGGUGGCGAAGGCGGUCUGCUGGGCAGUUUCUGACACUGAGGCGCGACACGUGGGGAGCAAACAGGG
rnacentral:rRNA from 1 species